GCUCAGCUCCGACCGCCUUCGUUGCUAAGGUUGGUGGAUCCGGGCCGCUGAGCUUUGUCAGACCUUUGUCCCAACCCAGUGGGUUUGAACUGGACGGAGAGCACUACGGAAGUGAGAUCCAGACACCGUCGAUUCUUCAAGCCCCUUUAUCACAGCCCAUUUCAGCAAAUGUUUAUACACAUUUACAGAAGCCUUUUUUUUUUUUUGAAGUAGAUCUACAAUGUGGAUCCAUGUUGUGAGGACACUCAAGCAGCCGUGGGGAGAGGCUUGCAUGAAUAAUAACCAAGCCUCUUGCCAACAACCACCUCCAACUUGCCAGCCAUGUGUGUGAACCAUCUUGGGAGUAGAUCCUCCAGCUUCAGUCAAACCUUCAGAAAUGGCUCCAGCAGUAUUGCCCAUCCCAUAGGGGCUCUUCUGCCCCAUGACUGCUUGGACCCAUAGCGUACAGUGGAAGAGAUGUUGCGUCCGUUUCAGGCAUGGCACUUAACUGUCCUGGAAGUCAGUCACCAUGUAAGAAGUGCGACCAGCCUGAGACCACUGAGCUGGGAGAAGCCCAAGCCACGUAGGGAGGAAGGGAAUCAGAGGAGCAUCAGAUACCAGACCCAGGAGUGAAGAAGCCAUCUUGGAGAGGUGGAAAGAUGGACAGGUUCAGCUCCAGGGAGAAACCAGGAAUGCUGAGUAUGGUACAUCCUGAUGAAUCCAGAAUGCAGGACCAAAACGAGGGGCCGCUUUCCUCCAAAUGGUGAGGACAUCUUCUACGUGCCAGAAAGGCCAGCAAUACAUUCAUUUCAGAACCAACAGAGCCCAAACAACAGUGGAGGCUCACCAUAUUCUGGACUCUUUUUCUGGGCCUCCAGGAGCCUUCUAGCAGAUAACGAACUUUGAUAGUUCAAGGCCUGUCCUCUUGCUUUCUACAAGGUGUGAACUAAGGGCUGGAUUCCACACUUGGGUGUCUAUAAACCCAUGGUACCCAGGUCCUAUUCCUGUGCUGUAGGAUCUUCCAGAAGCAGGUCUGCUACAAAGGAGGUGCAGUUCACAUUUCAAUGCUGGGCUCAUUGGAGAGGUCAUCAAACAGAAUUUCCAUCAGAAGGUAGAUUACAUGUCAACACCACAGAGGGUUUGCCCUUCCCAGGAAAAUCCAAAUGCUAUAACUUGUUCUUGAGACCCAAGGUUUCCCACAGUUUUGAAAUCUGAAAAGCUUUAUCCAGCAGACAUCCAUUAAGUGCCAACUGUAUGUCAGGGAGACACUGGAGACAAGAUCUUGGGCUCUGGUGGGAGAGACAGACAUAGACACUAACACAGUAGGAUAUUUUGAUUUCUACAAAGGAAGUGUGUGCAGAAUGACAUAAGAACCCGGGAGAAGCAUCAGAUUCUGCCUUUGGCAAUCAUGGAAGGCUUCCCAGAGUAGGUGACUUUCAAUCUGUAGGAGGAGGUUACAACUGAAGCAGAGGCCCAGGCCGGAGCUCCUACUUCCAAAUCCCCCUGAGGAAAGAGUCCAGAACUUCAUCUCCCUGCUUCAGCCAUGGAAGCAGCAAAAGCUUCACACACAACCAACAUCUGGAUGGUAUUAAUUACCUCCACAUUUAUGAAGUGCCUCAUUAAACUUGACUCAAACCAACGGCAUAGUUGGCUCCCUGGGUUAAAUCCACGCUAAAUAUUCAGUUAACACACAGCACAAGCGAAUCAUAUUUGGUGGGGUUCAGUUUACUUGUCCUGUGAAGGUGCUUUUCCAGCUGAAUAAUGAUGGUGCCUUUUAAUUGCGUGCUGUCUUCCUCCCGGGGGACUUUAGGUGGGACCAUCUUCCCAGAGGGAGCCAGAAACUGGGUGUCGUCAUCUCCAUUUUAUAGUUGCAUGGACUCAGUAAAGAGACCUGGCCCCAGCCGCAUGAACUGGAAUCUUAGUCCUCCCUCGGGGUCCAGCUCAAAUUACCUCAUCUUAAAAGAUCUUUUGGUUCCCCCAUCAGAAUUUCCCUGCCAUACAUGACCCUGGAAGCAGCUGAGAGAAAUGGCUGAGCCCUCACUGUGUACAGAGCUCUGUGAUGGAUAGUUGACAGCAUUCACUCACUGGAUCCAACAUCACUGAGGGUGUGUUCCCAUUUCACAGCUGAGGAAACUCAGGCACAGAGAAGCUGAGUGAUAGGUCUUGGAUUACACAACUAAUUAGUCAGGAUUCAAACCCAGGCCUCUAAGCCCAUUGUCUUAACCACAUACAAUCCUGGCACAUUCAUUCAUUCAUUCAACAAGUAUUAAUUGAGCACCUAUGGUACACCCAGUGCUUGCCAGGAGUAUAGUACUUGCUAGGGAUGCAGUAGGGAAGGAAACAUGAUCUUUGCCCUAACAAAGAUUAUCAUCUAGCAGGGAAGAUAGAUGUGAAACACUUCCACAAUCAUUUAAUUACAUACCAGGCAUCAGGCAAUGUUAGCAGAAUUUAACUGAACUAGCUAAGACAUUAGCAGGGCAAGAAAAGAAAUCAGGUCUCUGGAUGGCUCUUUCUUGUCUGCAAUUCAGGAGUCAGUCAACUCUUCCUUUUUUCUUAGAUUCUGUAGCUAAGCAAUGCCUACAGAGGCCCACAAUUGCUUUGGGAGUUUCCAGAAACCACUUCCCUCUCUGAAUCACGGCUUUCCCAGCUAUAAAAUGAGGAUGAAAAUAGCAAAAUACUGGAAGUAACCCAAAUAUCCAUCAACAGGGGACCACUUAAAGAAGUGGUGCUACAUCUACACCCUGGAAUAUGCAGCUCUUAAAAGCAUGAGGCAACUCUAAAUGCUGGAGAAGGAUCGCUAAGACCUGGACCCCAGGGAGUCAUGGGGUGACUUACUUUUUUUUUUUUUUUUUUUUUGGUCGCACCACAUGUGGGUUCUUAGUUCCCUGACCAGGGAUCGAACCCGUGGCCCCUGCAUUGGAAGCACAGAGUCUUAACCACUGGACCACCAGGGAAGUCCAACUUACUCUUAAUGUGUGCCAUUUUGUACCUUUAGAAUUUUGCACUCUGUGCAUGUACCUUAUCAAAACAUAAAU